AUUAGAUACCCGUGUAGUCCCAGCCGUAAACAAUGAGCGUUAGGUGUGUCGGUAACCACGCGUUACUGAUGCGCCGAAGAGAAAUCGUGAAACGCACCACCUGGGAAGUACGGUCGCAAGGCUGAAACUUAAAGGAAUUGGCGGGGGAGCACCACAACAGGUGGAGCCUGCGGUUUAAUUGGAUUCAACGCCGGACAUCUCACCGGAUAAGACAGCUGAAUGAUUGUCAAUCUGAAGGUUUUACAUGACUAGCUGAGAGGAGGUGCAUGGC
rnacentral:rRNA from 1 species